rnacentral:rRNA from 1 species
AUUGAACGCUGGCGGCAGGCCUAACACAUGCAAGUCGAACGAGGGGGGGACGGGUGAGUUAUGUGUGGGAAACUGCCUGAUGGAGGGGGAUAACUAGUAGACACGGUAGCUAAUACCGCAUACCAUCAGAUGUGCCCAGAGGGGAUGGGCUUGUUGGUGGGGUAACGGCUCACCAGGGCGACGAUCCCUAGCUGGUCUGAGAGGAUGACCAGCCACACUGGAACUGAGACACGGUUCAGACUCCUACGGGAGGCAGCAGUGGGGAAUAUUGCACAAUGGGCGCAAGCCUGAUGCAGCCAUGCCGCGUGUAUGAAGAAGGCCUUCGGGUUGUAAAGUACUUUCAGCGGGGAGGCGUUACCCGCAGAAGAAGCACCGGCUAACUCCGUGCCAGCAGCCGCGGUAAUUC